rnacentral:rRNA from 1 species
GUGAGGAGCGGCGGACGGGUUAGUAACGCGUGGGAAUAUACCCUUCUCUACGGAAUAGCCUCGGGAAACUGAGAGUAAUACCGUAUAAGCCCUUCGGGGGAAAGAUUUAUCGGUGAAGGAUUAGCCCGCGUUAGAUUAGAUAGUUGGUGGGGUAAUGGCCUACCAAGUCUACGAUCUAUAGCUGGUUUGAGAGGAUGAUCAGCAACACUGGGACUGAGACACGGCCCAGACUCCUACGGGAGGCAGCAGUGGGGAAUCUUAGACAAUGGGCGCAAGCCUGAUCUAGCCAUGCCGCGUGAGUGACGAAGGUCUUAGGAUCGUAAAGCUCUUUCGCCAGAGAUGAUAAUGACAGUAUCUGGUAAAGAAACCCCGGCUAACUCCGUGCCAGCAGCCGCGGUAAUACGGAGGGGGUUAGCGUUGUUCGGAAUUACUGGGCGUAAAGCGUACGUAGGCGGAUUGGAAAGUAGGGGGUGAAAUCCCAGGGCUCAACCCUGGAACUGCCUCCUAAACUAUCAGUCUAGAGUUCGAGAGAGGUGAGUGGAAUUCCAAGUGUAGAGGUGAAAUUCGUAGAUAUUUGGAGGAACACCAGUGGCGAAGGCGGCUCACUGGCUCGAUACUGACGCUGAGGUACGAAAGUGUGGGGAGCAAACAGGAUUAGAUACCCUGGUAGUCCACACCGUAACGAUGAAUGCCAGUCGUG